CGCUAAUUCACUUACAACAGAUGCCAUUUGUUGGAAAGUGCCCUGCUGUUCAAAUGCACUUUUGAAUUGAACUGUGUCUCCUUCCUCAGUUGCUGUCACCUCGUCAAUCCGUCUCGCCACAACAUUGAAUUUCUCAUUGUUCUGACUCAAUUCCUCCAAGCACUUACCACCUUGUGGUCUAUCCUGUGUUCAGACUGCUGAAGGUUACUUAAAAAUUGCUCCCACCAGUUCACUAUCAGUAUUCAUUGCAUCUUUCUGUUCAGCUUAUAUUGUAAACCAAGACAUAAGAUAGACAAUGAAUAAUAUCUUACGGCAGUUAAAUCUCAAAGCACAGCUUUUAUGUGUGACCCAAGACAAAAAAUAUUGCAGCUUUUAAUGAAAGCUAGUACUUUGUAUAUGAAAUGACAAGCC
rnacentral:lncRNA from 1 species